ensembl:lncRNA
CACACACACACACACAGACACACACACACACACACACACACACACACAAACACACUAGACUGCUAGAAUGUAUCCCUCAUGACAUUCAUAUAAACAUUAUGGUUGAUAUUUUCCUGAUAUUUUGCCCGAGAAUAAAUCACCUUUCUCCUGGGUACCCCGGUAUUGAAAAGCAUCAUAAAGCAUCAUAAAGCAUCAUUUGAUUAGACUUAGAUUGAUUUGAUUAGAGCUUUGAUCAGCAUUAAUGGGGCGGCAGGUAGCCUAGUGGUUAGAGUGUAGGGGCGGCAGGGAGCCUAGUGGUUGGAGUGUGGGGGGCGGCAGGUAGCCUAGUGGUUAGAGUGUAGGGGCGGCAGGUAGCCUAGUGGUUAGAGUGUAGGGGCGGCAGGUAGCCUAGUGGUUAGAGUGUAGAGGCGGCAGGUAGCCUAGUGGUUAGAGUGUAGGGGCGGCAGGUAGCCUAGUGGUUAGAGUGUAGGAGCGGCAGGUAGCCUAGUGGUUAGUGUGUAUGGGCGGCAGGUAGCCUAGUGGUUAGAGUGUAGGGGCGGCAGGUAGCCUAGUGGUUAGAGUGUAGGAGCGGCAGGUAGCCUAGUGGUUAGAGUGUAUGGGCGGCAGGUAGCCUAGUGGUUAGAGUGUAGGGGCGGCAGGUAGCCUAGUGGUUAGAGUGUAGGAGCGGCAGGUAGCCUAGUGGUUAGAGUGUAGUGGCGGCAGGUAGCCUAGUGGUUAGAUUGUAUGGGCGGCAGGUAGCCUAGUGGUUAGAGUGUAGGGGCGGCAGGUAGCCUAGUGGUUAGAGUGUAGAGGCGGCAGGUAGCCUAGUGGUUCGAGCGCUGCGCCAGUAACUGAAAUGUUGCUGGAUUAAACAAGUUCUGCCCCUGAACAAGGCAGUUAAUCCACUGUUUCCUGUUAGGCCGUCAUUGUAAAUAAGAAUUUGUUCUUAACUGACUUGCCUAGUUCAAUAAAGGUUAAAUAAAAUUAAAUAAAAGUCAAUCCUGAGCCAUAUAUUAAAUACAUUUAAUGAGCCCAGGCCCAAAAAUCCUUUUAACAAAUACAUAUAUGAUGUAGGCUACUGCACAACAGAAAAACAGAAAAGCCCAUAGAUGUAGUUUACCAUAUGCUCUCUUGGGUAAAUAAAUAAACCUAGCUCCAGUAGGCUAAUCUUUUUUUAGUGUGAACUGUAUUACUGUACUGUAUUAUACUGUAUUAUAUGGACUGGAAUUAUGGACUGGAAUUAUGGACUGGAAUUAUGGACUGGAAUUAUGCACUGGAAUUAUGGACUGGAAUUAUGCACUGGAAUUAUGGACUGGAAUUAUGCACUGGAAUUAUGGACUGGAAUUGUGGACUGGAAUUAUGGACUGGAAUUAUGGACUGGAAUUAUGCACUGGAAUUAUGCACUGGAAUUAUGCACUGGAAUUAUGGACUGGAAUUAUGCAUUGGAAUUAUGGACUGGAAUUAUGCACUGGAAUUAUGGACUGGAAUUAUGCACUGGAAUUAUGUACUGGAAUUAUGGACUGGAAUUAUGCACUGGAAUUAUGCACUGGAAUUAUGCACAUAGUUAAAACCAUGAUAAACCAGGGAGACAUAAGAUUCUGGUGCAUAUGUCGUACAGGUGCAUAUGUCGUACAGGUGCAUAUGUCGUACAGGUGCAUAUGUCGUACAGGUGCAUAUGUCGUACAGGUGCAUAUGUCCUACAGGUGCAUAUGUCCUACAGGUGCAUAUGUCGUACAGGUGCAUAUGUCCUACAGGUGCAUAUGUCCUACAGGUGCAUAUGUCCUACAGGUGCAUAUGUCCUACAGGUGCAUAUGUCCUACAGGUGCAUAUGUCGUACAGGUGCAAGAAUAGGCUCCCAAAUUUGAUUUUAAUUUUGAAAUAUAAUAGGGCCUAUUUGUAUCAUUAGUAGGAUGACCUUUCCUAGUGUUUCCUCAGGUGUUAU